rnacentral:lncRNA from 1 species
UUUGGGAUCCAGGUGUGUUUUGGGGUGCUCCAGGUGUGCUGGGGGUGCCACACCAUGAGGGCACCUGGAGCCAUGAACUCCCCCUGGGGAAGUUUGGGGGGGGGGUCUGUGGAUUUUGGGGAAGUUUUGGGGAGGUUUUGGGGUCACACGGCGCCACCAAACUUCAAGAACCAGACUGGGCGGAUUGAAGGGAACUUUGGGGGAGUUCUGGGAUUUUUGGGGGGGGUUUUGGAAGGAGUUCAGGGAAGGCUCUGGGGGGAUUUUGGGGAAAAUUUUGGGGUGUUUUGGACAGGACUUUGGGGGUGUUUCGGACACGAUUUUGGGGAUGUUUUGGGCAGGAUUUCGGGAUGUUUUGGGCAGAAUUUGGGGGUGUUUCAGGCAGGAUUUUGUAAGGUAUUUUGGGCAUGAUUUUGGGGAUGUUUUGGGCGGGAUUGGGGGAUGUUUUGGGCAGGGUUUUGGGGAUGUUUUGGGCAAGAUUUUGGGGAUGUUUUGGGCAGGAUUUUGGGGUGUUUUGGGCAGGAUUUCGGGGUGUUUUGGGCAGGAUUUUGGGGUGUUUUGGGCAGGAUUUGGGGGUGUUUUGGGCAGGAUUUGGGGGUGUUUUGGGCAGGAUUUGGGGGUGUUUUGCUGCCGCACGCCGCUCUCCAAACCCGCCGCGCUCCAAGACCACACCGGGACGUUUCGGGGUGGUUUUUGGGGUGUUUCUGAGGGUAUUUCCAGGCAGUUUUGGGGGUUCCCCGCGGGGGUUUGGGGGUUCUGGGGGUGCCUCAGGCGUGCUGGCGGCGCCAGACGAUGACGGUGCCGGCGGCGUCCCCCGAGGCCAGCAGGGACUCGUCGCAGUUGAAGGCCACGGCCAGCACGGCGGCCCCGUGGCCCUGCAGCGUGUUCACCGUGGCUCGCGCCGCGCGGCCCACGUCGAAAAAGUGCACGGAGGCAUCCUCGCUGCCCGUCACUGUGGGGACAUUGGGGACAUCAGGGACACUGGGGACAUCAGGGGCACCCAGCCACCCUCCUCGCUGCCCGUCACUGUGGGGACAUUGGGGACAUCAGGGACACUGGGGACAUCGGGCACCCAGCCACCCUCCUCGCUGCCCGUCACUGUGGGGACAUUGGGGACAUCAAGGACAUGGGGACAUCAGGGACACCCAGCCGCCCUCCUCAC